AACGUAGGUGGCAAGCGUUAUCCGGAUUUACUGGGCGUAAAGGGUGUGCAGGCGGGGAAACAAGUGGGGUAUGAAAUCACCCGGCUUAACCGGGUGGGGUUAUGCCAGACUGUUUUUCUGGAGGACGAGAGAGGGGCGUGGAAUUCCGGGUGUAGUGGUGAAAUGCGUAGAGAUCAUGAGGAAGACCAGUGGCGAAGGCGGGUCUCUGGACAGUUCCUGACACUGAGGCGCGAAAGCGUGGGGAGCGAACAGG
rnacentral:rRNA from 1 species